rnacentral:rRNA from 1 species
GAUGAACGCUGGCGGCGUGCCUAAUACAUGCAAGUCGAACGCUUAUUUCCUCCCGUUUCCUUGCUCACGAUAGGGGCGGGCGGGUGCGUAAGGGGUGGUAACCCUUGGUUAACCUCCCCAACAGCUUGGGAUAACACUUGCAAACACGUGCUAAUACCGCGUACCAGUUUAUGCCGCAUGGCAUAAGGGUGAUGCGGGCUUUCGUAUGUCGCUGCUGGCUGCACCCGCGGUGCAUUAGCUAGUUGGUAAGGUAACGGCUCACCAAGGCGACGAUGCGUAGCCGACCUGAGAGGGUGAUCGGCCACACUGGGACUGAGACACGGCCCAGACUCCUACGGGAGGCAGCAGUAGGGAAUCUUCGGCAAUGGGCGAAAGUCUGACCGAGCAACGCCGCGUGAGUGAUGAAGGUCUUCGGAUCGUAAAACUCUGUUGUUAGGGAAGAACAAGGAUGUAAGUAACUGAACGUCCCCUGACGGUACCUAACCAGAAAGCCACGGCUAACUACGUG